rnacentral:rRNA from 1 species
GGACAAACCCUCGCCCCGUUCCCCCCUCUCCGUCGCUCGUCCUCUUCUGUGCAACGCGCGCAGCCGCAGCCGUUGCCACGGCCUUGCCGUCCGCGUGGCCAACGUCGUCCCCGCGCUAAAUUAGCUUGUUCCCCGGCUCCCCCUUCGUCGUCUACAUCACCUGCGAGGACCAGCUCGAGCCCCCUCGCGCUGCAUCGCCUGGAUCGAGUCAUCUUCUACCUCCGGUCGCCACUCAUCGCUGCUUCGAUUUGUCGCCUCCAAGCCUUCCCCGAGCUUGCUUUGCACCUCUACAGGUUCGCGAUGCUGGAGUCUAGGAGCUAGAGACCCCGAGGAUGAUUCUACGUGGAGUUCGGCUUCGAGGAGUAGUUAGGAGGUCCCAGGCAGGAGGCCUUGCCUUUUCGAUUGUUGCUACUUUUGUGCUAGCCUUCUUAAGGCAAAUUUGUUUAACUGAUGUCUGUACUCAGAUAUUGUUGCUUCCGCUGACUCGUCUAUGAUCGAGCACUUGUAUUCGAGCCCUCGAGGCCCCUGGCUUGUAUUAUGA